UGUGGGCAGCCUGAGGAUCUCCUGCAGUGCCACAGGAGCUCUUCUGUCCUGCCUUUCCUUGCAGAUGAACCUGCUGGUGAAGGCCCCACAUCCAGGACUGAGGCUCUGGGAGAUGCUGAGGAUGUGUCUGUGGGGAGGACUUGUCCAGCUCCAGGGUUGGAUGCUUGGCCCCAACCCAGCUCCCAUGGCAGGGUUCCUCUGACAGGGAAGAUCCAAGACACAAGAGACAAGAUAUCCCUGGAACCACCCAAACAGACGAAGCAAGAGCUGAAGGAAAUGCGGCAGGGAGGACAAGAGAUUGACAUAGAGCUUCAGUGGAAGGUGGCAAUUCCUGAAGGAAGCACUCCAUCUUCGGUGCCAGCCUUUGCUGCAGGAAGGAAGGCGAUGGCAGACACGGGCACAGGCACAGCAG